UUGUCCUGUGACUGCGUACCUUUUGUAUAAUGGGUCAGCGACUUAUAUUCAGUGGCAAGGUUAACCAUCUAGGGGAGCCGUAGGGAAACCGAGUCUUAACUGGGCGUUCAGUCUCUGGAUAUAGACCCGAAACCAGGUGAUCUAGCCAUGGGCAGGUUGAAGGUUGAGUAACAUCAACUGGAGGACCGAACCGACUAAUGUUGAAAAAUUAGCGGAUGACUUGUGGCUAGGGGUGAAAGGCCAAUCAAACCUG
rnacentral:rRNA from 1 species